GACGAGGGAUCCUAGCGUUGUUCGGAAUCAUUGGGCGUAAAGAGGGCGUAGGUGGCCUUGUAAGUCAGAUGUGAAAGCCCAGGGCUCAACCCUGGAAGUGCAUUUGAUACUGCUUGGCUUGAAUGCGAGAGAGGUAAGUGGAAUUCCAGGUGUAGUGGUGAAAUACGUAGAUAUCUGGAGGAACACCGGUGGCGAAAGCGGCUUACUGGCUCGACAUUGACACUGAGGCCCGAAAGCGUGGGGAUCAAACAGGGAUUAAGAU
rnacentral:rRNA from 1 species